UGUAUUUUUUUCAAUAUUUCCCCCGAGGCCAGACCACAGUGAUCCUCUCUCGCUCCUCUCUACCCUUGGGACUUCAGGAGUCUGCCACCUGGUCAAGGAGCAGGAUUCAAGCAAGUAAGUAAAAGAGGAGAGUCAGACAGAGGCUGUGUGUGGACGACUUGCC
rnacentral:lncRNA from 1 species